rnacentral:rRNA from 1 species
UACGGAAGGGGCAAGCGUUGUUCGGAAUCAUUGGGCGGAAAGGGCGCGUAGGUGGUUCUGUAUGUCUACCGUGAAAGCGUACGGCUCAACCGUAUUUUGUCGGUAGAAACUGCAGGACUUGAGGCUGGGAGGGGCUGGUGGAAUUCCCUGUGUAGCGGUGAAAUGCGUAGAGAUGGGGGAGAACACUCGUGGCGAAGGCGGCCAGCUAGACCAGUUCUGACACUGAGGCGCGACAGCGUGGGGAGCAAACAGG